CCUACGGGUGGCAGCAGUGAGGAAUAUUGGUCAAUGGACGCAAGCCUGAACCAGCCAAGUAGCGUGCAGGAAGACUGCCCUAUGAGUUGUAAACUGCUUUUGUACGGGGAUAAAGGGAGGUACGUGUGUCUGUUUGAAAGUAUCGUAUGAAUAAGGAUCGGCUAACUCCGUGCCAGCAGCCGCGGUAAUACGGAGGAUCCGAGCGUUAUCCGGAUUUAUUGGGUUUAAAGGGAGCGUAGGCGGGUGGUUAAGUUAGAUGUGAAAUUUCGGGGCUCAACCUUGAGAUUGCAUCUGAUACUGGCAGGCUUGAGUGCAGUUGAGGUAGGCGGAAUGCGUGGUGUAGCGGUGAAAUGCUUAGAGAUCACGAAGAACCCCGAUUGCGAAGGCAGCCUACCAAACUGCUACUGACGUUGAUGCUCGAAAGCGUGGGUAUCAAACAGGAUUAGAUACCCGGGUAGUC
rnacentral:rRNA from 1 species